rnacentral:rRNA from 1 species
AGCAGCCGCGGUAAUUCCAGCUCCAAUAGCGUAUAUUAAAGUUGUUGCAGUUAAAAGCUCGUAGUUGAAUUUCGGGGUCUGUCCAUUGGUCGGGCUUUACGGUCCGUACUGGUGAGAUGGGUUCCUACCUUCUGAAUAACCAGCAUGCCAUUCAGUUGGUGCGUUGGGGAAGCAGAGCUAUUACCUUGAAAAAUUGAGUGCUUAAAGCAGGCUAGUGCUUGAAUAGAUUAGCAUGGAAUAAUAAAUAGGAUGGCAUGGUUCUAUUUUGUGGUUUCUAGGAUCACCGUAAUGAUUAAUAGGGAUAGUUGGGGCAUUA